rnacentral:tRNA from 1 species
GAGGGUAUAGCUUAGUGGUAGAGCACGUGCUUUGCAUGCAUGUGGUCCCGGGGUUCAAUCCCCGAUACCUCCU